UAUUCUGGGUCCAAUUGUCUUGUAGGGUGACUGACCAUUCCAAUUUACCCAGGACAGAGGGGGUUCCCAGGGUCUGGGACCUUUUUGAAACUGGAAAAUCCCAGGAAAACUGGGAGGAUUUGGUCACCCUACUUGGUCUCUCAUGAUGGAUCCCUGUUACCCUCACCGGGUUUAGCUGAUGGAGGUGUCCUGUGGCCCAGCACAGCCAAGGCUGACGUACUUGGACAAGUCAUCAAGGGGUACGAGCUGAGAAGAGUCAACCCUGAAUGACAGAUGAUCCAUCUGAGCCAGAUCUUGGGUUGGAGGGAACCUGACCUAAACUAGUCAUUUGUUAUACUUGCCUCUAACUCUACAAUCAGGAAGGAAAAGCCAAAGACAAGAAAAACUUGAGUGAACAUGCACAGCUUCUACUCUCUGUUCAAUGCAAUCACUUGUAGGAAAUGAGAUCUGAAGGGGCAAGAGAGAUCACCUAAGUGAAUCCUCUGGUUGCAGAGAAAAAAGAAACUGAAGCUGAGGAACGGCAUCCUUAUCUCCAAAGUGGGAACCUUGAUAUAUACCGUUUGCUUGCAGGAUCCUCUUUGACGUAUAUCCAGAAUCUGGUAGUUCCCAAGCCCUUCAAAGCUGCCACACCAUCCCACCAUCUCGCCCUGGUCUCCUGCUUCUUUCUGCAUCCACCGUGGCAGCCUUGCGUUCCCAUUUCUGCACAGUGGCCAGGAAGACCUGUUCAUGCAUCCCUCAGAUCCUGUCUCUCUUCUGAGGGAAACCCCCAGAGGCUCCUCACUCACUCAGAUAUAGAGUCCUGGAUCUGCAUCUGCUGCAAAAAGACCAUCCUGAUUUCCUCUCACCACUCCCGCCUGCCCUUGCUCAGUGUGCUUCAACCACACGGGCCUCUCCUGUCUCAGGACACUUGCACAGCCUGGUGCCUCUGUCUGGGCUCCUCUCCCCCGACAUGGCCACACAGCCUGCAGGUCCCUGGUCAAAUGUCACCUCUUCCUAAUACCCUCCCUGUUCCCCUCAUAUGAAGGAGCUAAUUGUUCCUCUGCUCAGGCACUUUUUACCUCCCUGAGCCUGCUUUAUUUUUCUCUUCCUUUAGCUCCUGUCCCCACCUGACAUAUGUGGCCGCUGCUAGUUUCUGGCUGCCGCAUACACCCAGCCAGGGGGCACUGUUUGCUGUAUAGAAGUACAGUAGGCACUAGAGUGCCCCCUCCAUGUGUGCAGGGUACGACCCGUGCUUGUUGCGUCCUUGCUGGAGCUCCAACAAUACAACCAGACCUAUGAUCAGGGAACCUGUAGAAUGAAGCUCACCUUCUCUUCACUGCACCUUCUACCUGGCAUCUUUCUCUUAGGUGGUUUUUCCUCUUGGGUGCACAUUAGCAUCCCCCAGGACUCUGUGAGGAAGGCCUGAGCCCUUUCCCAUUAAUUCCUAGUGUUGUAGAAAGGGAGCCUGAAGUCACUGAGCCUGAACACCAUGGUCAAAAUGGCCACACCAGCCCUUCCCCUGGCUCCAUGUGUCCCUUACUACUUCCUGAAGCCCCACCUUCCUCCAUGUGCCAUGCUGUCCUCUGACCUCCCAGCAGGAAUGAAGUUACCAUUGUCAUCAUUCACUGUGACUGGUUGCUACGGCGACAGGGACAACAGCCAUCCACAGAGCAAGUUGGGGAAGCCUGCAUGGGGCCAGUUGCAGCCCCUGGGAAAGGUGCUCCGUGAAGCACGGCCCAACAGCCUCCCUUCCUCUGGAGAGAUCUGAUGACCUGGCCUAGCACUCAGAAGAGUAGUGGGAAGGAGAAAUGGACCAGAGAGAAAUGAAAUGCAUAGAAAAGUGAAGAGAUGGGGCAACUCACAUGGCUAAACUCAGACGUGGCCCUGCUUAACAUUACACCCAGGGCCGGAGCCUCCUAUCACACCCUCUACAGCUGAAUCCAGUGCUCCCUGGAAGACUCAGAGAGACAGACUUUGGACAGCGCUUGCUCUUUCCCUUGGGAGGUGGCCAUAGUUAUAUUUUUCUUUUUGAUUUUCUGUGUGGUGGUGGUUGACAGUGACAACAACGCCUGCGGCUCCCAGAACGAGAAGCAAUGGAGACAUCCACCUGUCACUGGUCCCCGCCUUGUGACUCUCCAUCUGCACCAGUCAUGGGUGACUUUCAUUCACAGAGUCCUUCCCGGACUCCGGCUAGAGGCUUUGGACCACUGGUGACAGAAAUAUCAGCAAAACUAUGGCCCAAAUGAGGGGACCUGUGGUCUCCCGGACACCACAUUCUCAAGACACUAGAAAUAAGAGCAUGACUCCAGGGGAGGGGAAGUGAAAUGCAGGGCCCUAUGAGAAAUAGGGAGGGACUGAGCUGCUUCAACCUGGACACAAGUGUCUGGAGGGUCCUACAUGCGGGCUGUCAGGGCAAGAGGGAUGGGGCUUGCUCUGUGCACCCACAGGACAAAAGCAGAACCAACAGGUAGAAUUAUAGGAAAUAGAUCAAGGAAGCUGCUAAGACUCUCCGAAGAUGAAAUUAAUGAGGUCAGCAUGAUGCAAGCUUUUGUCCCUCCAAACAGAAUACCUCCUUGUGCACAGAAUUACAUGGUUUUCCCACA